rnacentral:rRNA from 1 species
CCCACUGCUAUCGGGAUGGGACUAAGACAUGCUAGUCGAGCGUCUCCAAGCUAUGGUGGAGACACGGCGCACAGCUCAGUAACACGUGGCUAACCUACCCUUGAGACAGGGACAACCCCGGGAAACUGGGGCCAAUCCCUGAUAGGUGAGAACUCCUGGAAUGGAUUCUUGCUGAAAGGAUUUCUAGGCCAUGCUUCUAGACGUCGCUCAAGGAAGGGGCCGCGGCCGAUCAGGUUGUUGGUGAGGUAACGGCUCACCAAGCCUUUAACCGGUACGGGCCGUGAGAGCGGGAGCCCGGAGAUGGGCACUGAGAUAAGGGCCCAGGCCCUACGGGGCGCAGCAGUCGCGAAAACUCCCCAAUACACGAAAGUGUGAGGGGGCCAUCCCGAGUGCCGUCCGCUGAGGAUGGCUUUUCCCUAGUGUACAAAGCUGGGGGAAUAAGGAGAGGGCAAGACUGGUGUCAGCCGCCGCGGUAAUACCAGCUCUCCGAGUGGUGGGGAUGUUUAUUGGGCCUAAAGCAUUCGUAGCCUGCUGGGCAAGUCCUCCGUUAAAUCCAACGAUUCAAUCUUUGGGCUGCGGGGGAUACUGUCCGGCUAGGGGGCGGAAGAGGCCGACGGUAUUCUCGGGGUAGGGGUGAAAUCCUAUAAUCCCGGGAGGACCACCAGUGGCGAAGGCUGUCGGCUAGAACGCGCCCGACGGUGAGGGAUGAAAGCUGGGGGAGCGAACCGGAUUAGAUACCCGGGUAGUCCCAGCUGUAAACUAUGCAGGCUAGGUGUUGGCGCUGCUACGUGCCGCUCCAGUGCCGCAGGGAAGCUGUUAAGCCUGCCGCCUGGGAAGUACGGUCGCAAGGCUGAAACUUAA